rnacentral:rRNA from 1 species
GACGAACGCUGGCGGCGUGCUUAACACAUGCAAGUCGAACGGAAAGGCCCUGCUUUUGUGGGGUGCUCGAGUGGCGAACGGGUGAGUAACACGUGAGUAACCUGCCCUUGACUUUGGGAUAACUUCAGGAAACUGGGGCUAACACCGGAUAGGAGCUCCUGCUGCAUGGUGGGGGUUGGAAAGUUUCGGCGGUUGGGGAUGGACUCGCGGCUUAUCAGCUUGUUGGUGGGGUAGUGGCUUACCAAGGCUUUGACGGGUAGCCGGCCUGAGAGGGUGACCGGCCACAUUGGGACUGAGAUACGGCCCAGACUCCUACGGGAGGCAGCAGUGGGGAAUAUUGCGCAAUGGGCGGAAGCCUGAUGCAGCAACGCCGCGUGCGGGAUGACGGCCUUCGGGUUGUAAACCGCUUUCGCCUGUGACGAAGCGUGAGUGACGGUAAUGGGUAAAGAAGCACCGGCUAACUACGUG